UCCACAAGGAACUGAACGACCUGGCCCAG
rnacentral:piRNA from 1 species